UACACCCAUGCUGAAUGCAGUUGUGCAUGGCCAUCUUUGAAAAGCAGGCAUUUGUAAAUACCAAUGGAAGAAGACAAAUGGAACCAGGCUGCAAGAGUCAUUCAGAGGUGCUGGAAAAGAUGUAUUAAUGUCCGUGUCUUUCGAUACUACAAAGAACUAAUAGGCUUUAGAGGAGUUGGGGACCCUCAUCUUCUGAUGAAAUUCAUUGACCCUAGAGAGGUAAGGGCUAUAUUUA